GACGAACCGUGCAAACGUUAUUCGGAAUCACUGGGCUUAAAGGGCGCGUAGGCGGGCAGGCAAGUCAGGGGUGAAAGCCCACGGCUCAACCGUGGAAGCGCCUUUGAUACUGCCGGUCUCGAGGGAGGUAGGGGCGUGCGGAACUUCCGGUGGAGCGGUGAAAUGCGUAGAUAUCGGAAGGAACACCGGUGGCGAAAGCGGCGCGCUGGACCUCUUCUGACGCUGAGGCGCGAAAGCCAGGGGAGCAAACGGG
rnacentral:rRNA from 1 species